rnacentral:rRNA from 1 species
GCCGCAUGCAGGUAAACGGGUGGCGUCAAGCUGCGAGCCCGGAGGAUUCAGCUGACUGGGAUGUAGUGUACGCGCGCCUGGUGCGUCGAGAGACCGGAAUAAGAUGUUCAUGGCGGUCCACUCCUCUGCUGGGAGUGGGGCGCGAUCGGUGUGCGCUUGCGUGUGCCGGUUGUCGCUAUGUAUGCCGGGUGGGUGCCGGAGCAUGCCGCUCAUCUGUUGGGUCACCUAGUCAGUGCAUUUUCUCCGUGGUGAACACCACGACCGGUGGAACUGCCAGUCUGCUGUGAUCAAGUCGUGUCCUCCUGGUGCGUAACUGUGCUGGGAGUGGCACGAUCGCAGGCGGAGUCGGUGGACGGCGCAGUGGUGCUUCGGUACUGCCGCGUGUUAUCGUGCACUCUCUGUCGUAAGCGGUUGGUGGGGUUGACUGAGUGCUGUGACUACUUCCUCAUUAAUCGGCGGAUCGCAGUGGUGAAAGGGACUGUGCAGGGCACCGGAGUUGUCCACCUCAUUCAAUAUGGUAUCCGGCACGCACGUUACAGGUGCUAUACAAUCGGGAUGCGCCGCUGUCUGCCUGGUGUUGGGCCUGACUGUCGUGUUGCCUGCGCAAAGUGGGUCCGGCAGUGGUUUCGAUGCUUGGUAGUCGCAGUGUGCUGCGUGUCUCGGGUGUCUGUGGUACCGGGGGUGAAAUAGUCAGUGGUGCUGUGGUAGACGAGCUACCCGACCCGUCUUGAAACACGGACCAAGGAGUUUAACAUGUGUGCGAGUCAAAGGGUCCUACGAAACCCCUAGGCGCAGUGAAAGUGAAGUUCACGCUGCACUUCUGCACAUGCGCGGUGCAGCGUGGCGAGGUGAGAUCUCGUUGUACUCAUGACACACGCCGCAGACCUUACUGGGCUUUACUGGGGCAACGAGCGCAUCACCGGCCCGUCCCAUGAUGUGGUCAUAGGUCCACUUGUGCGUGGAGUGGCAACACGAAGCGUGCAAAGCCUGUGCGUCAUCGGGGCGGAGCAUGAGCACACACGUUGAGACCCGAAAGAUGGUGAACUAUGCUUGCGUAGGUUGAAGCCAGAGGAAACUCUGGUGGAGGACCGUAGCGAUUCUGACGUGCAAAUCGAUCGUCAAACGUGAGUACAU